rnacentral:misc_RNA from 1 species
AACGCAUAUUGCGCCCUCUGGUAUUCCGGGGGGCAUGCCUGUUCGAGCGUCAUUAAAAUACUCAAGCAUUUAAAGCUUGGUUUUGGGCCUCUUUUAUCCAUUUUGGAUAGGUCUAAAAAUUAGUGGCGAUGCCCAUCUGGUUUUCAGGCGUAGUAAAAAUAUAUCUCGUUUGAAUAAUCCAGAUUUUUUGGAUAUCAGCCAAAAAUCUUUUUUUCCAAAAGUUGACCUCGGAUCAGGUAGGAGUACCCGCUGAACUUAA